rnacentral:rRNA from 1 species
AACGCGAAGAACCUUACCUGGGCUUGAACCGCACAGGACCAUCUUUGGAAACAGAGACUUCCCGCAAGGGACCUGUGUAGAGGUGCUGCAUGGCUGUCGUCAGCUCGUGUCGUGAGAUGUUGGGUUAAGUCCCGCAACGAGCGCAACCCUUGUGAACUGUUGCUACCCGGCACCUUCUGGUUCCUGAAAAUCAGAUGGACUUCUAGGCGCUAGAAGGUGCCGGGGCACUCUGUUCAGACUGCCCUGUGAAACGGGGAGGAAGGUGGGGACGACGUCAAGUCAGGAUGGCCCUUACGCCCAGGGCUGCACACGUACUACAAUGCUCAGUACAGAACGAACCGAAAUCGCGAGGUGGAGGAAAUCACUAAAACUGAGCCCAGUUCGGAUUGUAGGCUGCAACUCGCCUACAUGAAGCCGGAAUCGCUAGUAAUGGCGUAUCAGCUACGACGCCGUGAAUACGUUCCCGGGCCUUGUACACACCGACUGUAC